rnacentral:rRNA from 1 species
UACGUAGGGGGCAAGCGUCGUUCGGAAUCAUUGGGCGUAAAGAGCGUGUAGGCGGCUCGAUAAGUCUGCUGUGAAAGUCCAGGGCUCAACCCUGGAAGGCCGGUGGAAACUGUCGGGCUAGAGUCCGGAAGAGGCGAGUGGAAUUCCCGGUGUAGCGGUGAAAUGCGCAGAUAUCGGGAGGAACACCAAUGGCGAAGGCAGCUCGCUGGGCCGGUACUGACGCUGAGACGCGAAAGCGUGGGGAGCAAACAGG